ensembl:lncRNA
UGAAAUAAAUUAUACAUUAUUUAAAUUGUAAAAUAUUUAUAAAGUAUAUGUGGUACUGUCUUUAAUUUAUGCUGAUUUACAGUAAUGAGAAUCUGAUAAGAACUAUUGAGAAUAGUAGGAAUUACAAAACGUCUUAACUGUAAUUAAAAUAAUAUGUCACGAUGUAAAAAAUAAAAACUUAAUGGUGUAAAAAUAAGCAUUUUUUUUUUAAACAAAAUAUUUGUUUUAUUUGGGGGGUGAAAUGUAUGGAACCUUGCUUCCAUAGAAAUGUGACCUGGACAUGUUUUGUGCGAUUCACACUUUAGACUGUCCCUUUCGCUCCAACUGUAGGGAAAAACAAUUCUGUGGAAGAAACCGUGUGUGAUGGGAACGUUUCAAUCAAAGGAAUUGACAGGGCUCUCCCUACAGGAUAAGAGAUUUUAUCCUGGUUUUUGAGUGUGCAUGUGUGAUUUCAUGAAUGCAGGGGUGUUGUGGCAUUUGAUAAGACUGCAGAUAAUAUGAGGAUUUUAGGUCAUGAGGGUGUGUAUGAAUCGGGCUAGUUUUUAUCAUUGUAAACUCAAUGAUAUCCCUGCCUUAUUUAGAGGGUUUUUUGAUAAAUAUAGAAUAUAUAUAAAUAAAAAAAAGGUAAAAGUUUUGAUGAGGAUAUCAAACGUUUUUAACUGUGGUGUAUUUGUGUAUGAAAAGUGCAAAAGAUUAAAGGACGAAUUCAUUUGUAAAUAUAACUUAUUCCUCUGAGCCCAGUUUUGUGGGUUAGGUAUUGUCAAUGAGCUUUGGUGUUUGAUCUUUGUUAUGUGCAGUUUUAAAUGGAUUCUGAGCAUUGUGGUAAACCCCAGGUCAAGAAAAGCUUAGGAUAAGUUCUCUCGUUUCACCACUUUUUCCAGAGGUAGAUAUUCGGUGUUUUAGAAAGAGCUUCAUUUUCAUUUCCUCUUUUGAAUCCAGUUAUUUGCCAGUGUGAACGGCUGAUGACUCAUUGAGAACUGCUUUACCUUUUUUGUGUUUGAUAUCGCUUUAAUCUUGCUCUUUGUUGUCAAAGACAUCGCUCGAGUAAGUGAAGGUGAUCCAGUCGUUGUGUUUUCCCAGUCCACCAG